AUUGAACGCUGGCGGAAUGCUUUACACAUGCAAGUCGAACGGCAGCACGGACUUCGGUCUGGUGGCGAGUGGCGAACGGGUGAGUAAUGUAUCGGAACGUGCCCAGUCGUGGGGGAUAACGUAGUGAAAAUUACGCUAAUACCGCAUACGAUCUAUGGAUGAAAGCGGGGGAUCGCAAGACCUCGCGCGAUUGGAGCGGCCGAUAUCAGAUUAGGUAGUUGGUGGGGUAAAGGCCCACCAAGCCAACGAUCUGUAGCUGGUCUGAGAGGACGACCAGCCACACUGGAACUGAGACACGGUCCAGACUCCUACGGGAGUCAGCAGUGGGGAAUUUUGGACAAUGCGCGAAAUCCUGAUCCAGCCAUUCCGCGUGCAGGAUGAAGGCCCUCGGGUUGUAAACUGCUUUUGUACAGAACGAAAAGGUUUCUACUAAUACUAGGAGCUCAUGACGGUACUGUAAGAAUAAGCACCGGCUAACUACGUGCCAGCCGCCGCAGUAA
rnacentral:rRNA from 1 species